rnacentral:lncRNA from 1 species
GAGUUAUCAGAGGACAAAUUGCAAUGCAAUAUUGAUUUGUUCAAAGACGGAUUGGAUAUUAAAGAUGCCAAAGGCGGAACCCCACUUUCUGGACAACCAGGUGCUCCAGCCGCUAUUGAUUAUUUGAAUGAGAAUUACAUGAAAGUUCAACAGUUAGAAGAACAAUUGAAAAUGACAGAGAAAAACCUUCAGCUGAUGCGUGAUCUCAGGUCAACACGGGCAAAAAGUAAAGGUA